rnacentral:rRNA from 1 species
GAUGAACGCUGGCGGCGUGCUUAACACAUGCAAGUCGAACGGAAAGGCUCCUGCUUGCCGGGGUACUCGAGUGGCGAACGGGUGAGUAACACGUGGGUGAUCUGCCCUGCACUUCGGGAUAAGCCUGGGAAACUGGGUCUAAUACCGGAUAGGACCACUUUUUGGAUGGUGUGGUGGAAAGUUUUUCGGUGUGGGAUGAGCUCGCGGCCUAUCAGCUUGUUGGUGGGGUAAUGGCAUACCAAGGCGUAGACGGGUAGCCGACCUGAGAGGGUGUACGGCCACAUUGGGACUAAGGGACGGCCCAGAAGCCUACGGGAGGCAGCGGGGGAGAGUAUUACGCAGUAGGGGCGAGCCAGAUGCAGAGACGCCGCGUGGGGGAUGACGGCCUUCGGGUUGUAAACUACUUUCGCUAGAGACGAGGCGCAAGUGACGGUACCUGAAGAAGAAGCACCGGCUAACUACGUG